GACGAACGCUGGCGGCGUGCUUAACACAUGCAAGUCGAACGGAAAGGCCCUGCUUUUGUGGGGUGCUCGAGUGGCGAACGGGUGAGUAACACGUGAGUAACCUGCCCUUGACUUUGGGAUAACUUCAGGAAACUGGGGCUAAUACCGGAUAGGAGCUCCUGCUGCAUGGUGGGGGUUGGAAAGUUUCGGCGGUUGGGGAUGGACUCGGGGCUUAUCAGCUUGUUGGUGGGGUAGUGGCUUACCAGGGCUUUGACGGGUAGCCGGCCUGAGAGGGUGACCGGCCACAUUGGGACUGAGAUACGGCCCAGACUCCUACGGGAGGCAGCAGUGGGGAAUAUUGCACAAUGGGCGGAAGCCUGAUGCAGCAGCGCCGCGUGCGGGAUGACGGCCUUCGGGUUGUAAACCGCUUUCGCCUGUGACGAAGCGUGAGUGACGGUAAUGGGUAAAGAAGCACCGGCUAACUACGUG
rnacentral:rRNA from 1 species